AGUACAUUUUCAUGUAAACUGUCUCUCUGUCUGCGCAUGCUCUAUCUUGACGUAAAUGCGCGGUGACGUCAUCUUUUACGCACGUAAAUACGGCGGCUUUGGACCAGAGUUCGAAUUUGGCGGCGAUCUUGUUUUUAACUACUUGUAACUUUUAUUUUUUUAAUCACAGUGCAAAAACAAUCCCAAGUGCUGUGCUAAAUAGACGCCGGACCUCCAUCUUGGUCAGUGGCGUGACGUUUUCAUCGAUGCGCACGUGCACGCGAAGGAACUGCUCGCAUUAUCGAGCAAAUUUGAAAAAGGAUUGUUGAGGGCAAAGAGUGCCAAAAGUCAAGCAACAUGCACGGUGCGCGCACGUCCCACCCGUCGAGUCCCAGGGGGCGCCGAGGACGAUGUAGAGCAAGAGAAGAAGAAGCUGCACAUCACUGAGCAUCGCAGAGAUCCCACAAAAUGGCCGCAUCAGAGCUGUAACAGAAGAUCGGGCUUUUAUCCACGCAGCACAAAACAAUAGCGGGACAUUGAAGCAACUGUUUCACAACAACACGGCAUCCCGCAG